GCCGGCUUGUUCCGGUCCGGGCGUGCGGAACUGGGUCGGUUCGGCCCAUUUGGCCGGGCCGGUCCGGUUUUCUCCCUUUUUUUUCUUUUAGCCUUUUCUUUUUCUCCUUUUCUCAAUUCUUUGAUAACUUUUGAUUUUGAACUCUAAUUUGGUCCAAAUAAAUUCCAGAAAAUUUGUAAAAUCAUGAUUUAUCAUGAUUCAACUUUUGGGAGUAAUGUCCCCUAAAAUAAAAUAUCUAAAAAUACAUUUGCCCUAUAAAUGCCUUUAGGGUUAUAUAACUAUUUAAAUAAAAUAGUUUUUGAACUCCAAAUAAUUAUCCAAAAAUUAUGAGAUAGCUUAUUUAUGCAAUACACCCUUGUAUAAACAAACCUUAUUGGUUUGAAGAUCCCAUGCUCAAAUGGGUGUAAACCCUAGGGUUUAAAUUGAAGUAAAAUCUUUCCAAAGCCUUU
rnacentral:lncRNA from 1 species